rnacentral:piRNA from 1 species
UGUGCCAUUCUUCCUCGAUAUUUUCCUGU